rnacentral:snRNA from 1 species
AAACUUACCUGGCAGAGGAGAUACCAUAAUCAUGAAGGUGGGUUUUCCCAGGGUGAGCCUUAUCCAUUGCACUCCUGAGGUGCUGACACCUGUGACUCCCACAAUUGUGGGAAACUCACCUGCAUAAUUUGAGGCAGUAGGAGAUUGCAUUUGUGCUCUUCCCUG